rnacentral:rRNA from 1 species
UGCAACAGAGCAGGUAUCAGGCUCAAAAACAUUAGCCCACCACACCUUGCCAAGCCACAUCCCCACGGAUAACACAGCAGUGACUAACAUUAGGCAAUAAGCACACCAAGCUUGACCUAGCCAACACUUUACCCUGGCCGGCAAAUCUCGUGCCAGCAGCCGCGGUUACACGGGAGGCCAAAGAUAAUAAUCCAACGGCGUAAAGAGUGACUUCAGAUCCCCACCUGCUCAAAGACUCGAAAAUUCUACCUUAGAGAUGAAAUCCCAAGGUACCUAGAAUCCUUAGACAUCCCACAGCAAGCCAUCCAACUCACGAAAACCGGGAUACAAACUAGGNUU